rnacentral:rRNA from 1 species
UGGGGAAUAUUGCACAAUGGGCGCAAGCCUGAUGCAGCGACGCCGCGUGAGGGAUGACGGCCUUCGGGUUGUAAACCUCUUUCAGUAGGGAAGAAGCGAAAGUGACGGUACCUGCAGAAGAAGCACCGGCUAACUACGUGCCAGCAGCCGCGGUAAUACGUAGGGUGCGAGCGUUAUCCGGAAUUAUUGGGCGUAAAGGGCUCGUAGGCGGUUUGUCGCGUCUGUCGUGAAAGUCCGGGGCUUAACCCCGGAUCUGCGGUGGGUACGGGCAGACUAGAGUGCAGUAGGGGAGACUGGAAUUCCUGGUGUAGCGGUGGAAUGCGCAGAUAUCAGGAGGAACACCGAUGGCGAAGGCAGGUCUCUGGGCUGUAACUGACGCUGAGGAGCGAAAGCAUGGGGAGCGAACAGGAUUAGAUACCCUGGUAGUCCAUGCCGUAAACGUUGGGCACUAGGUGUGGGGACCAUUCCACGGUUUCCGCGCCGCAGCUAAGCGCAUUAAGUGCCCCGCCUGGGGAGUACGGCCGCAAGGCUAAAACUUAAAUGAAUU